rnacentral:rRNA from 1 species
UACGUAGGGGGCGAGCGUUGUCCGGAGUACUGGGCGUAAAGCGCACGCAGGCGGUCUGGUAAGUUUGGAGUGACAGUGCCCGGCUCAACUGGGCAAGGCCUCUGAAGACUGCUGGACUUGAGGACCAGAGAGGGACAUAGAAUUCCGGGUGGAGUGGUGAAAUGCGUAGAUAUCCGGAGGAAUACCAAAGGCGAAGGCAGUGUCCUGGCUGGUAACUGACGCUCAGGUGCGAAAGCUAGGGGAGCGAACAGG